rnacentral:rRNA from 1 species
UACGUAGGGUGCAAGCGUUAAUCGGAAUUACUGGGCGUAAAGCGUGCGCAGGCGGUUUUGUAAGUCUGUCGUGAAAUCCCCGGGCUCAACCUGGGAAUUGCGAUGGAGGCUGCAAGGCUGGAGUCUGGCAGAGGGGGGUAGAAUUCCACGUGUAGCAGUGAAAUGCGUAGAGAGUCCGGCAGGAACACCAAAGGCGAAGGCAGUGUCCUGGGGAGUACCUGACGCUCAGGUGCGAAAGCCAGGGGAGCGAACGGG